GAUUGAUGUCUAGCAAUGUGUCAAGACUAUCUGAAAGAUUUAAAAUUUUGAUAAAAAAUUAUCAAAAUAUCUUUCGGUGGUAAGUUUCCAUAUAAUUCAAUCCUUCAGUCAAACAACAUCCCAGAUGAGCUAUGAGUAUGAAAAUAGUCAAACUCAAUCACUUAUUUUUAUGUAUCUCGAUCUGAAGGAGAUGAUUCAGUGGAUGAUAUAUUAAAUUUUUUUUUAAUUAUCAUCCUGCUUUGGCCAA
rnacentral:lncRNA from 1 species